UAAAAAAUCGCAAUUUAAAAUAAAAAUAUGAAUUUAUAGUCAUAUUCAAAUAAUAUCAAUUAUAAUCAAUUAUCAUAAAUUUUCUGACGUAGUUGACCUUGUUGUAACCUUGAAGGGGAUUUUGUACCAGGUGUGCCUUGCAAUUGGAAAUGUGCCCAAUCUGUAGAUCUGAAAUCAAGUCAAGAUUGGAAAUGACAUGAUCAAAAACUACAAGAUGUCAACGAUUACCUCGCAAGUAUCAUCAGACGAUUGAGUCAUAUAUCUUUCCAGUGGAAACUCAGACAACCUCACUGCUUCACAUAUAGGAAGUUACAAUCAUUUAUGGAUGAUGUCGAAGGAUCCGUGAAGUCGAAAAGAAAGAAAAGAAAAAUCCGUUCAAAAAUGACAUCAGUUUACUUUCUUUAUACUUAUUGUUUUCUCCUAAAAUAAUAGGAAAUUUUGUUAAUAAAGCACGACUGAUUUAUUGUUUGCUUUUAUAUCACGAAUGUUACUACUAUCUUCGAACACUAUCAUCAUUCAGCCAUAAUAUUUAAUUCUUUUUAUCAUUUUAAGAAUCUGGAUACAAAUUCCGGUCUCGUUUGUAUGAUUUAUACAAUGUUAUCGUUGUCCAUCAUACGGAACCGAUAUUAAUAGAAUAAUGAAUGAUAUGUUCUUAUUACAAAAUUUCGAAAAAUUUAUAUUUUUAUUAUUUAUUUAUUUUGAUUUUAAAAUUAAAUU